rnacentral:rRNA from 1 species
AACGUAGGGGGCGAGCGUUAUCCGGAAUUACUGGGCGUAAAGCGCGUGCAGGCGGCUUGGUAGUUUGGACGUGAAAGCUCCUGGCUUAACUGGGAGAGGCCGUUCAAAACCACCAGGCUUGAGGGCGGAAGAGGGGAGUGGAAUUCCCGGUGUAGUGGUGGAAUGCGUAGAUAUCGGGAGGAACACCUGUGGCGAAGGCGGCUCCCUGGUUCGCACCUGACGCUCAGACGCGAAAGCGUGGGGAGCGAACGGG